rnacentral:tRNA from 1 species
UAGGCUAAAGCCCGUUGGUUUGGGCAACUAGUUGUUAACUAGUAUUUWGUGAGAUCAAGGCUCGCUAGUCUAG